ACUCCUACGGGAGGCAGCAGUGAGGAAUAUUGGACAAUGGAUGGAAAUCUGAUCCAGCCAUGCCGCGUGCAGGAAGACGGCCCUAUGGGUUGUAAACUGCUUUUGUAUGGGAGCAAUAAGGGCUAUGUGUAGUCCGAUGAGAGUACCAUACGAAUAAGCACCGGCUAACUCCGUGCCAGCAGCCGCGGUAAUACGGAGGGUGCAAGCGUUAUCCGGAUUUAUUGGGUUUAAAGGGUGCGUAGGCGGUUUGAUAAGUCAGCGGUGAAAUAUUUCAGCUUAACUGGAAGGGUGCCGUUGAUACUGUCGAGCUUGAAUUUAGUUGCUGUGGGUGGAAUGUGUGGUGUAGCGGUGAAAUGCAUAGAUAUCACACAGAAUAUCGAUUGCGAAGGCAGCUCACAAAGCUAAUAUUGACGCUGAUGCACGAAAGUGUGGGGAUCAAACAGGAUUAGAUACCCUGGUAGUC
rnacentral:rRNA from 1 species